AUUGAACGCUGGCGGCAUGCUUUACACAUGCAAGUCGAACGGUAACAGGCCUUCGGGUGCUGACGAGUGGCGAACGGGUGAGUAAUGCAUCGGAACGUACCCAGAGGUGGGGGAUAACGCAGCGAAAGCUGUGCUAAUACCGCAUGUGAUCUGAGGAUGAAAGCGGGGGACCGCGCAGCAAUGUUUGGCCUCGCGCCUUUGGAGCGGCCGAUGUCGGAUUAGCUAGUUGGUGGGGUAAAGGCCUACCAAGGCGACGAUCCGUAGCUGGUCUGAGAGGACGACCAGCCACACUGGAACUGAGACACGGCCCAGACUCCUACGGGAGGCAGCAGUAGGGAAUUUUGGGCAAUGGGCGAAAGCCUGAUCCAGCAAUGCCGCGUGCGGGAAGAAGGCCUUCGGGUUGUAAACCGCUUUUGGCAGGAACGAAACGGUGUCCGCUAAUACCGGGCGCUAAUGACGGUACCUGCAGAAUAAGCACCGGCUAACUACGUG
rnacentral:rRNA from 1 species